rnacentral:rRNA from 1 species
CCUACGGGUGGCAGCAGUGGGGAAUAUUGGACAAUGGGGGCAACCCUGAUCCAGCCAUGCCGCGUGUGUGAAGAAGGCCCUCGGGUUGUAAAGCACUUUCAGUGAGGAAGAACGCCUGGUGGUUAAUACCCAUCAGGAAAGACAUCACUCACAGAAGAAGCACCGGCUAACUCCGUGCCAGCAGCCGCGGUAAUACGGAGGGUGCGAGCGUUAAUCGGAAUUACUGGGCGUAAAGCGCGCGUAGGUGGCUUGAUAAGCCGGUUGUGAAAGCCCCGGGCUCAACCUGGGAACGGCAUCCGGAACUGUCAAGCUAGAGUGCAGGAGAGGAAGGUAGAAUUCCCGGUGUAGCGGUGAAAUGCGUAGAGAUCGGGAGGAAUACCAGUGGCGAAGGCGGCCGUCUGGACUGACACUGACACUGAGGUGCGAAAGCGUGGGUAGCAAACAGGAUUAGAUACCCGAGUAGUC